UUGUGUACCCGCCCUUCCUCCAUCCCCAUGUGUUUCUCUGCAACGUGUGAGCCAGGCAUGCUUCCUGCUGCAUGAAAUUCCAAGUGACUUCCCGAUGAUGUUCAUGAGGAUUUACAAUUGCCUUUCUUGGAGACAGUCCUCCUGAAAAAUGUCCCUUUGUACUUCCUGCCAAAUCUCCCAGCAGGCUUCCUGUGUGGGCUCUGUCAUGAAGGAUCGUCCUUGGACACCUUCCCCGCUUUAAGGAUCCUAGGAGGAAGACUGGAUGCUCAGGAAUUCUGGAAUGAGUUGAUGUUUUGACUCACACUCUUUUGUGCAGGCUGUACGUGGAAGUAACAUGAUGCUCACGAUGGGGGAACAAAGUCAGUGCUUCUGGAGAGUCACCAGAGAGACAUUCAGAAAGAGGAAGAUAUAUUGUUGGUGACAUGGGAAGAUAGAGAAAAGGUCUCUGAGCCUGCUGGAAGCCUGAUUGAUGAAGAACCAAGAGCUUGGAGCUUGAGUCCUGGUUUUGAACCCUGUCUCAGAUGCCUAGCAGCUUCCUGAUCCUGGCAAGUGGGAUCACUUCAGCCUGACACUGGGAACAACUGUCUUCUGGUCCAAAUCGUAUUACAAUGAGAUCUCUCAAAGAAAGUCCAGCCGAGUAAUGAAGAGUGAUGUUUACACGGGGCUUCGUGGUGGAUUCCAGGAGCUGUGACUGAGCCCACAGACUGUGUAUUUCA